rnacentral:Y_RNA from 1 species
GGCUGGUCUGAAGGUAGUGAAUUAUCUCACUUGAUUGUUAACAGUUGCAGAUUGAACUCUUUGUUCCAUUACUUCCCCCCCUCCUAACUACUGCACUUGACUAGUCUUUA